UUUUAACUUAUAUUGCAUAACAUUUUUUAGUCUAUAUAUAAAAUGGAUUUAAAACGUGUUUUAUCAAUACAAAGUCAUGUUGUGUCUGGAUAUGUCGGAAAUAAAGCUGCCACAUUUCCCUUACAGGUUUUAGGAUUUGAUGUUGAUGCAAUAAAUUCUGUUCAACUAUCUAAUCAUACAGGAUAUAAAUCACACAAAGGGCAAAUUUUGAAUGACUCUGAGCUGAAAAAUAUAUUUGAUGGUUUAAAAUUGAACAAUUUAGAUCGUUAUUCUCACUUACUAACAGGAUACUGUCGUUCAGAGUCAUUUUUACUUGAAAUUGCAUCUGUGUUAAAGCACUUAAAAAGUAUUAAUAAAGAGUUGAUAUAUGUUUGUGAUCCUGUAAUGGGAGAUCAAGGAACCUUUUACGUUCCACAGGCCUUACUUCCCAUCUACAAAGAUAUUUUGAUCCCUUUGGCAGACAUUGUUACGCCUAAUCAAUUUGAGGCUGAACAACUUUCAGGGGUUAAAAUUUUGAAUGAAAGAGAUGCUUUUAUGGCAAUGCGCAUGCUUCACAGUAUUGGGCCAUCUAUUGUCAUUAUAACAAGUCUUUGUCUGGAAAAUAGUUCUAAAUUAAUAAUAAUGGGAUCAACGAAAGGCUCUCCCUCUGAAUAUGUUAGAUUUGAAAUUAAUAAAUUAGAUGCUUUUUUCCAUGGAACUGGAGAUCUGUUUGCCAGCCUUUUAUUGGCAUGGUUGUAUAAAUUUCCAGAAAACGUCAAGAUCGCAUGUGAGAAAACUUUAUCAACAAUAAAUAUGCUUUUAGCAAAGACUAUUGAGCAUUCGAUUUCUCCUGUUUAUUUGUCGAGGAGGGAGAGAAGCAGAAAUGGGGAUGGCAUUUUUUGUCGCUACGCUAAUGGUUAAAAUUAAAAAUUACGCAUAUUGCAGACGACUACCUGGUCAACAAUUUACUCAUUAAAAUUCGUGUAAAUACGAAGUUCCUUUAUCUGCUCGUAUGGAAUUACGUCUUGUGCAGAACCUUACAAUCAUUUUAGAUCCUCCUGAAAUUUGCAAAGGAGAGUUAGUUCAAGUUUUAGAUUGAUUUUUUAUUAAAUGAC